GACGAACGCUGGCGGCGUGCUUAACACAUGCAAGUCGAACGAAGUGGCGAACGGGUGAGUAACGCGUAAUCAACCUGCCCUUCAGAGGGGGACAAUAGUUGGAAACGACUGCUAAUACCGCAUACUGAAGGAGGGGUUUGCGUGUGGUUAGCUAGUUGGGGGGGUAACGGCCGACCAAGGCGAUGAUCAGUAGCCGGUCUGGGGGGGUGAAUGGGCACAUUGGGAAUGGAACAAGGGCCAGGAUCCUGAGGGAGGCAGCAGGGGGGAAUCUUCCGCAAUGGACGAAAGUCUGACGGCGCAACGCCGCGGGAGUGAUGACGGCCUUCGGGUUGUAAAGCGCUGUUAGUCGGGGCGCGGUACCUGAAUAGAAAGCCACGGCUAACUACGUGCCAGCAGCCGCGGUAAUAC
rnacentral:rRNA from 1 species